rnacentral:rRNA from 1 species
GGACGAACGCUGGCGGCGUGCUUAACACAUGCAAGUCGAACGGAAAGGCCCUGCUUUUGUGGGGUGCUCGAGUGGCGAACGGGUGAGUAACACGUGAGUAACCUGCCCUUGACUUUGGGAUAACUUCAGGAAACUGGGGCUAAUACCGGAUAGGAGCUCCUGCUGCCUGGUGGGGGUUGGAAAGUUUCGGCGGUUGGGGAUGGACUCGCGGCUUAUCAGCUUGUUGGUGGGGUUGUGGCUUACCAAGGCUUUGACGGGUAGCCGGCCUGAGAGGGUGACCGGCCACAUUGGGACUGAGAUACGGCCCAGACUCCUACGGGAGGCAGCAGUGGGGAAUAUUGCACAAUGGGCGGAAGCCUGAUGCAGCAACGCCGCGUGCGGGAUGACGGCCUUCGGGUUGUAAACCGCUUUCGCCUGUGACGAAGCGUGAGUGACGGUAAUGGGUAAAGAAGCACCGGCUAACUACGUG